rnacentral:rRNA from 1 species
AUUGAACGCUGGCGGCAGGCCUAACACAUGCAAGUCGAGCGGAUGAAGGGAGCUUGCUCCUGGAUUCAGCGGCGGACGGGUGAGUAAUGCCUAGGAAUCUGCCUGGUAGUGGGGGAUAACGUCCGGAAACGGGCGCUAAUACCGCAUACGUCCUGAGGGAGAAAGUGGGGGAUCUUCGGACCUCACGCUAUCAGAUGAGCCUAGGUCGGAUUAGCUAGUUGGUGGGGUAAAGGCCUACCAAGGCGACGAUCCGUAACUGGUCUGAGAGGAUGAUCAGUCACACUGGAACUGAGACUCGGUCCAGGCUCCUACGGUAUGCAGCAGUGGGGAAUAUUGGACAAAGGGCGAAAGCCUGAUCCAGCCGUGCCGCGUGUGUGAAGAAGGUCUUCGGAUUGUAAAACACUUUAAGUUGGGAGGAAGGGCAGUAAGUUAAUACCUUGCUGUUUUGACGUUACCAACAGAAUAAGCACCGGCUAACUUCGUG